CCAAAAACAAAAAAUCCAAAAAUAAACAAAAUGGUAAAAAACGAAAAAAAUUGCUUUAAUCUUCCAAUUGAAGCGAAUCCGUUCUACAAGCAUUUUAAAUAUGAUCUGAAUGAUGAGAUUACGGAGCAUAAAUCCACUUCUACUAAGAUUCAAAAGGGAAAACUAAAGACAAAUUUUAAACUGAAGAAAGCUACAUUGCCAUAUUCCCUAUCAAAGUGCAAGAAACAGUCCAAAGAAUGGCUAACAGCAUGCAAUUUAGGAGAAACAAAUGUUUCAGGCAAUUGGCACAAACAUUUGCCACAACCGAAAAUCAAAGCAGAUCCUUAUAAUCUUGGUCCUCAAUUGCUUGAAGAUUGUAACAUUUUGCAAAGCAAAACAGGUGAGGGGACUAUGAGGGUCUCUGAAGCUGAAAUUGAAACUGAUUGUUCAGAUGAAUCCAUGAAUGUGAAUGAAUUAAGCAGCUAUAUGGAAAAUACCCAUAUACCAAAGCCAAUGAGCCCCAUGGCAGAAAUGAUAUAUUCCUAGAGGGCAAAAGUUGUUAUGCUUUAAACGUUAAAUUGAAGUUUAUAUUUUAACUAGAAGAAGAGAGUAUGCAGCUUAUCAAAAAAUUUUCAAAAUCUUAAGUCUUUCAUAUGAGAGUAGCUUUGACAAAUUUUCAGAAUCAUUUUCUUUUUAAUUUAACAAAAUUCAAGUAUGUAAUUAUUUCUUUUUUUUUGUUUUACGAUUCUCGGUUGAGAUGACAAGUUGGCUGAAAACUAGAUUUUUUUUUGCUGUACGUUCACACGUUUUAAAUUAAUAAAACUGGUGUGAGUUGAGUGCACGGAUUAAAGAAUUCUAAAGCGAGCCGACUUUCUACCGUCUUCACUGCAAGUUGUUUGGUAACUGAAGUUGGCUUAAAAAAAACAAUUGAGCAACAAAUUGCAAGACGAGAGAGAGAGACCGCGCGCCAUACAAAACAAGGGAGAGAGAGUUGCCAGACUGUGAUUAAAUAAACUGAUUGCAAAUAUGAUUUACACCAGCCAACAAACAUUUGGAACAUUAAAAUUAAAUAAUUAUUCAA